rnacentral:rRNA from 1 species
AAUCAACGCUGGCGGCGUGCCUAACACAUGCAAGUCGAACGCGAGAGGGGCUUCGGCCCCAAUUGAGUGGCGAACGGGUGAGUAACACGUGGGUGAUCUACCUUUGAGUGGGGAUAACGUUCCGAAAGGAACGCUAAUACCGCAUGACGUUCCGGGUUUGAAGACCUGGAAACCAAAGCCGGGGCCCUUAGGAAACUUAAGGCCUGGCGCUUGGAGAGGAGCCCNCGCCUGAUUAGCUAGUUGGUGGGGUAACGGCNCACCAAGGCGACGAUCAGUAGCCGGCCUGAGAGGGCGGACGGCCACACUGGGACUGAGACACGGCCCAGACUCCUACGGGAGGCAGCAGUGGGGAAUUGUUCGCAAUGGGCGCAAGCCUGACGACGCAACGCCGCGUGGAGGAUGAAGGU